rnacentral:rRNA from 1 species
AGUGAACGCUGGCGGUAGGCCUAACACAUGCAAGUCGAACGGCAGCACAGUAAGAGCUUGCUCUUACGGGUGGCGAGUGGCGGACGGGUGAGGAAUACAUCGGAAUCUACUUUUUCGUGGGGGAUAACGUAGGGAAACUUACGCUAAUACCGCAUACGACCUACGGGUGAAAGCAGGGGAUCUUCGGACCUUGCGCGAUUGAAUGAGCCGAUGUCGGAUUAGCUAGUUGGCGGGGUAAAGGCCCACCAAGGCGACGAUCCGUAGCUGGUCUGAGAGGAUGCUCACCCACACUGGAACUGAGACACGGUCCAGACUCCUACGGGAGGCAGCAGUGGGGAAUAUUGGACCAUGGGCGCAAGCCUGAUCCAGCCAUACCGCGUGGGUGAAGAAGGCCUUCGGGUUGUAAAGCCCUUUUGUUGGGAAAGAAAAGCAGCAGGUUAAUACCCCGCUGUUCUGACGGUACCCAAAGAAUAAGCACCGGCUAACUUCGUG